AUUUUUUUAAACCUUCAGAUGAGAAAAAGAUGCUAGUGAUUUACAAGAUGGUAUACAUUCUCUAACUUUUUCUUCACCUCUUCUGUGUCAGGCAAACUGAAAAAAAGUCUCAUUGCUCUCCUCUGUGAAACGGGGACAGGAAUUGACCUCAGAGAGCUGCUAUAAGAAUGAAUAAGAUACACAUAUUAUGCUAUUAUCCUAGCCCUCUACCUUACACAUCAUAUUUGGUCAUUUAAUAUUAGCUGUUAGUACCAUGGUAAUAGUUUAAUCUCAUCACAGUAGUACCUUGCUUAGUAUUUGACUGAAUAACCAAGAGACAGGGAUCUUGAGUGGCUGCAUUUAGAUAUCUAUUAAUACCUACCGCAGCCUGCUUCUUCUGAACAUCAGUUCAUUUUGGUUUUCAUAGCAGUCUAUUUCCUUUUUAUGAACGGUGACAGCCUCAUUCCUACAUUAGAUAAUUUAAAAAAUUAACUAUUUCUGGGAAUGGGGCCC
rnacentral:lncRNA from 1 species